AAUUUUACAUAGAAAACCGAAAACGACAUAUAAUUUGGAACAAAAAAAUUUCUCUACAACGACUUAUAAUAAAAAACGGAGGGAGUACUAUUUUAACAUGCAAACACAAGUUAUUUAUGAAAUAUAAUUAACAGAGAAAUACCAGCUGAUAAUCAUUGUCGGCUAAUGCAAUAAAGGUAGCAGAUUAUUAAAGUUGUUAGCUUUAAAGUGUAUAAUAAAGAGGGUAAUUAGUUUGAUAAUACAUAAAAUAAUAUAGAGAAUAUUACAGGGAGGUCGCGUAGGCAUAUGACCCCGGAAGAAUCUGUAUUCCUUUCUUUUGGUCUGCUAACGAUAAAGCUUUUUUCUUACGCAGUACCCGUCUGAAAACAUAGAAAUGAUAGUCCAAUUUCAGAAUAGAAUAUGACAGAAUGAGUAACCAAAUCAUAUUGACAUAAGUAAUUAGUUUAAUACAUUUAUUAUAAUGUAACGAUUCAAUUUUAAUGGUUUUUGUCGACAAAAAAAUGUAAUGGUUUUAGUAAAUAUUUUAUUUAGAUAGAUGUAACUAGUUUUUUUUUUGUUUUCUAAAACUAGUUUUUUUUGCUUCAGAUUUGAUGGGUUAGUCAAGAAUCACUGAAGUAAAUCUGACACGUCAAAUUGUAAAAAGAGUCUAAUCAUCACCACAUCAUUUUGACACCACUUUGAUGGGGGCGGUGGAUCACUGGUCGGCUACCUUUAUAUACUUUAUAUCCAUCAACACUGAAGACAAUCUUCUGCAGCUAAUAGAGUUGACGUAUGAGUUAGUUUAACUUACGAAACGAACUUCAACUUAACGUCUGAAUUAUACGCACAAAGUAAAACCAUUGCUUUUAACUUACAGCCAAUUCUAGAUUUUGAGCUAUUUUCCAUCCUUGUUACCUUUUUUUUUUGUUUUUGAAACAAGGUUUUUCAAACUAAACUUAUAGGAAUUUGCAUCCAUAAGUUUGGAAAAGUAAGCAACAAGUAACGGAUUAAACACAUAAUCCUAGUGGAAGCUCAAUCAAUGAACGCUUAAACAACAAGAAAAAAUGACAUGAGCUAGUGAUUAUAUUCCUUCCGCCACAAUGAUGUGUUUACCUUUUACACUAACUUUAGUCCAUUCCCGAUCUUGGAUUUUUUGGAUUAGUUUAAUUGACCAUUCUCCUCUAGUUAAAUUAUAACCAAAGGAUUCAGCCAACUCAUUAGAACCCAUUAUCUUCCCAUAAGUUAGAUGAAUCUUCGGUUCAAUAAAAAAACAUUGGUUGUUUUGGAUGAUAGGCGAGUAAAAACCAAUUAAGUGAUCAUGUGUCGAGGGUUGAUGACUAAUAGCAUUUGGAUGGAUUUGAUUCCAUAACAUUUGUUUGAGAAGGGCAGUGUUCCCAACUGCUAGUGUAGCUCAAGCGAUUUUCAAAGGGAUAUAAAUUACCUCAUAUAAUUGUGUGAGAGAAAUAUAGGUUGAAUCUUUACAAGCAGCAAUAUGGUGAUCUCUUGAGCUUGUUGCCCAGGAGUGUGUGAGUUAGAGUGAAAUUUUGUUGCAACUUCAAUCCUUUUUUGCUCAGUUUUCCUUUCAUUUUCAGUUUUUGUAGCAGCAAAGACAAGUUGGUUAGGCUCUAAAGGUACAUCCGCACUUGUUGUUGCUGAGUGAGAAGUAUAGACUUGUUGUUGCUGGAUUGCCAUUUCUGAAACAGAACCAGUUCCCACAUAGUUUUGGAAGGGUGUUGUAGCAAUUAGACUAUGUCAACUACUGAGCCUCUUCAUUUAUAGAUUUAGUUUGCUUUUUUGAUGGAGCAACUUGCAAUUUAAGAGGAAGGAGACACUUUUUCUUCCUUGUCUAAAGGCUCCACAUCUUUCACAUGUUGUUGGGAUCCAUGAAUAUUCAACAUCAACCAAGUAAAUGUUGCCGUGUUUGCUUUGGGAAUCCAUUUCGUUCUCAAAGAAUAUCUUAUCUUUCCCAUGUUUGUUGGGUCUAAACGAGUUGUGCUUAAGCAUCGGUUCACCCAAACCAGAUGAUAUAUGACUAAUACCUAAUCUAGUGAAGUAAGAAUCAUGGAUACUUUUAAGAUUAAUUCACAUCGGUAGACAAGAAAUCUCAGGUGUUUUGACAGUAUGCCAUACUCCCGUUGUAUACCCAUUGACGAGCGGUUUCAUUGGAAAAAGUGAAGAUGAACAAGGAAUCUCCUAACUUCCUAGUAGUUAUCCUACAUUCUCGACCCCAUAACCUAUUCAGAACUGCACAAAUCAGAUCCCAUGCAGGCUUGAACACCUGUGAAAUUGGUCUACAACAUACUUUUCUUUGUUUUCAAGGCCUAGUCUAAGAACCUUAAAGGGGAUAGUCACCUAAGGCGAGCCAAACAUACAGUAAGUUGGUUCGACAGCUCGAAACAGAUUUCAUGUGGCUUGAUUCUUUCGAGCUGCCCAUGGAAACCAAAGACUUUUGUCGAACAACAGCUAGAGACUUUCCAUGUUCCCCAUAAGUUCAAAAUAAUUAAUAAGUUUUUUUUUUUUUUUGCAAAAUGUGAAUUUUAUAUUAAUAUGAGAAGAGUUUGUAAUUGCUUACAAAAAGUUUACCAAGAGGGUAACCACAAAAAACAAUUACCAGAAGGGAACGAUUAAGAAUGGUUGUAACUAAUCAAAUAUUCCAAAAACCUUUAUGUAUUCAUUUGAGAGAUCCAACUUGCGAAACUCAGCUUGAGAAUCCCAUUUGAUGAUAGAUUCUAUUAAGAGUAGGAUAUACACUGAGAGACAAUAGAGAACAAGAAAAAAGUUGAAGCAAAACUUUAUUAAUGUCACCAAUUUAUUUGGGGAAUGUUUUUUUUUUUUAAAUUAACAGAGAAAAAAGUUGCGCAUACUCCAUUUUUUACAAUUAAAAAUGUAAUCAGUUUGCCUACAAGUUUUUUCAUUGUCCUGAACAAUUAUAUAAAAGAGAGAGAGAUGAGAUGAAGGGUUUAGCCCGAUGAAAAGGUUCUUUUAUUCGAAGAUCGAUCUUCCUAUUACUUGUCUUCGUUGUCAUUGACGUCCUCAUUAACAUCCGUCAUAUAUUUCUUGUUUAGGUCAAAGCUGCGAUCCACACUGUUUUUGUUAACACUCAUCACAUCGUUACGGUUAAGGUGAUUGCCACGAUCCACACUAUUACUGCUAAGGGCGAAGCCACAGUAUAGACUACGGGGGCUUGUGCACCCACUAAAAUAUUUAUAUUUACGUUUUUGUGUGUGAAAUAUUAAAAUUUCCAUAGGUAUAAUGGUAGAAACAUCCUUGGUGUGCACCCAUAAUGUUACAAGUUCGAGUCUCUUUCUGCAUGUAUUUUAAGUUUUUUAUCAUUGAUGCAUCCAGUACAAUAAAAGUCUAGAUUCGCCCCUGAAGUGCUAACACUAAUCAAAUCGUUAUUGUGUGGGUCAAUGCCACGACCCACACAAUUCUUGUUAACAUCCAUCGUUUUAUUAUUACUGUUUAGGUCAAUGCCACCAUCCACACUAUUAUCGUUAACAUCCAUCGUAUUGUAUAUGUUUAGGUCACUGCAACGAUCCACACUGUUAUUGUUGUUGGGUUUGUCUGAGUCCACGUUGCUAUCCUCGAUUAUGAGAUUGCACUUGUUGAUGGUGACACUGACAACGGUGAGAAGCCAUAGUUCAACAUUUUGAGCAAAAAAAAAAUUCCAGCACCUGAAUGUUUUUGAAACACAAGUGUCUUUACAAUUUUAUUUGUAUUGAGAGAAAUUUACGAGUGGAGUGGUUUGGAAUAGAUCAACUCUUCCUUGUGAAACUUUGAAAACGCUUCACAAUGCCCCAAAAAACAUCAGCAUCAGCGAAAACCCUGAAACCAAGAGCAUUUAAAUUUGACUAGAGAUUUAGAGAAAAAAUCUCUUCAAAAUAAAUCAUUAAGAUAUGCAUGAGAUCUAGGACAUAUAUUCUGGUAGACUAAUCUAUUCAAGAUUCUGCAUAUAUAUCAGAUCACCUUUUCUAUACUUAUCAUGCAUCUCGCAUUCAAGUGUAAGAAAAGUACGUAGCUACCUUUGCUUUCUUACAAACGAGUUCCAUAGAAACAUGAGUCUCUUUCCAUCCGAGCUCUCAUCCUCAAGUUUAAAAAGCGUCUGCAAAAGCCAUUAGCACUGUUACGUAGUAAACCAUAAUUUGUUCGUCUUUCAUUCAAUGACUGCGGGAAGAAAUCAUGGAGAACCUGGUGUUCUUUCAAUAUCUAAAAUGUAAUAACAUCUUCGCUAUCUCGAUCAGACAUUACUUCCUUGAGAGUCAUUAGCUUCGUCACAGAAACCUGUAGUUUUCGGUUAGAGACAAGAACAGUGACAACAUGGAUGCCUAGGGCCGUGGACCAUCUAGGUGAAACAUUUGCUACAAGUCUCCAAAUGGAAGCCUCAAAAUUUACUAUGUUAGAGAGGGACUAAGAGUGUUCAAAAAAAAAAAAAAGAGGGCCUAAGGCAAUUGCCUCGUUUUCUAUGCCUAAAGCACGACUCUGACUGUUAUUACCACCAUUGAAUUUUGUCUCCGGUUUUGAUCAGGUAGGUCAUCCGGUCUAUGCUAUCAACCUUACGAGUUUUCUUACUUUUUGCCAUAAGUAGGCCGUAGUAUAGAAAAACUCGGAAGGUUCGUAUUGAAGACUGAAAGACCUGUGUGUUGUGUUGGAGAAGAAGAGAGGACAACAGAUAUAUAUAGCCCUGGAGCGCAAGGAGGAUGAGGAUGAACAAAAAGACAAUGUGUCAUCACCACGUGAAGUUCAAUGUUUCUUUUUAUUAUUUCUUCUCUGAGAUUUGUUUUGUUUUUAAUGUCUUUUUACUUUGCUGACUUCUGUAUUAGUUUUCUCCAUAUGCACGUACCUAAUGUACCUACAAAGUCUUUCAAGCAUUUUCUCUUAUAUUUUUCCUUUUGUAACUUCAUUUCCAUUGUAUUAUGAUAUUAAUAAAACAAAAAGCAUAUUUUAUAUAUACUACAGAUUUUUUUACCCAUCUUCCUAUAUUUCAUUUUUAUGAUUAAUUAUUCUAUUGUAUCAUGAUGAUAAUAAAACAAAAACCAUCUUUUCCUAUAUACUAUCUUUUAGAAUUUUGUAUUCUGUAGUCUAUGAUAAAGGUAAAAUAACAAUUGAAAGGUGAAAACAAUUUAACAAUCAAAAGUUGAAAACAUGAUACAUAGCUCUAGUCAGCGAACUCAACAUCUUACAAUACAACGUACAUAAAAAGUAUUUUUGAUAAAAUUUUCUGUUUGUGCUAUAUUUACAAUCAACAUCUUUAUUUUUAUCACACUAACUAUAUGUUAUGAACAACUGUUUUUAUAUCAUACUGAAAAUUUCUAUCAUACAUUUCUUAUUUUGGAAAAUAUGUGUGUUUGUGGAAUCCAAUCUGAAAACAUAAUGUAAUAAUAUUAAAUUUCCACAUUUUCUAUAAAAUUACAUAAGAUAAAAAUAAAAUGAAAUAAUAACACAAUUUUAACAAGUUAUACAAAUUAUUUUAAUAGUUGAAUGUAAGUUCAGAUAUAUGGAUUAUGAAAUGUGUCAAAUAAAUUCUGUGUAUCUUAUUAACCGAAACCCUAAACAUCAAAAUGAUUUACCCUUCACACAUACUUCAUAUUUUGUUUCGGUUCCUCGUUAUUUUAUGUAAACUCUAAGCCCUAAACAUCAUUCUGACUUAAUUUCUAACUUUUUCGAAUUUCAGAAAACACACACAUAUAUAUAUAUAGACUGACUAUGUGAUAAAUUUUGUUUUGUAAGUCACAGUUAAUUAUUUUAGGUGUUUAUAAAUAUUAUAAGAAAUAGGUUGACGCUUUUUAGCACUAUAUAAAUUUUGAUAAAUCAUCGGUCAUCUUAUUUACGAGGGUUGAUACAAGAUGAUAAAAAAAUUCUGAAAUUAUUUUGAAUAACAAAGUAAAUGAAGACUAAGAAAUAUCUGAAUUUUUAUCAAACUAGUUUCAAAGUUCAAAAGUUUGAAAAUAUAGAAAAUAGUAUAUAUGAUUCUCGAUGUUUCUAUUUAAAAGACUUAUGGAAAGUUGUUUCAUUUGGAUAUCUUGAAAAAAAAUUGUAAGUAGGUAAUUGCGCACAUUUUUUGCCGUUUGAAAAAUAUUAUGAAAGAUUUACUUCUAAAAGACUUUGGGAAAAUGACUAUUUAUAACUUCCUCCUCAGCAAACUAGUUUUGUGAUCUCUGUAGAAUCUUGUCUGGCAAUACAUGUCUCUGAGGUUCCUUAUGGGUGGCUUGUCAAUAUAUUCAUGAGUUUUUUUUUGAUGAAAUUUUGAAUUUAUUGAUCAUCAACUAGAAGGAUUUACAAAGAAUGAAGCCUAACAAAGAAUAAAGGUUCUUAUAUCUAUCUGUAGGAAGAAAAGAAAAAUUUGUGUUAGUUAAUAACUCCAUGCUCCAAAAUCAGUCAAAAACUUCAAACCAUCUCCGAAGAAUUUUAUUGAGUGUGAUAGUAAAAUCAAUAAGGAUAUUGCUUUGAUUGCUCUCUUGAUGACUUAAUGGGUUUGACGAGAAAGAGAACAAAUUUGUCUGAGAAUUAUGUUUGAUGAAUCAAUUAUAUGGCUUACGUAAAGUUAUUGAGAUGUCCGUUUGAGAUCGAACGAAGGAGUGGAUGUUCAUGAAUCAAUUCUUUUCUGAGAAUCUUAUUUUUGCUCAUUAAUUUUUUUUGAUAAAACAAAAUUUUUAAAUAAAAAUUAGAGUUUUGAUUGAUUUAACUAAUUUAUAAUUGGUUGGUUAAUAGUAAACCAAUAAAAACCAUGGUCUAUAAGUUAUUAAGUUUUGAAUAAUUGGUUUGGAGAAAAAUAAAUUUACAACUUAUGCUUCGGAGAGAAAUAAGUUUAGAACUUUAAAUUCAUGGAGAACUAGAACGAGGUCAUAGUUUGGUAGAUAUCUGAUGAUAUAUGAUAGUUGGGAAAUAGAUCGUUGACCCAAAUGUUUUAGUUAAAGUUUAGUGCAAUCUAUGUAGCCAAUUAUCAAUAAUGAACAAAAUGGGAUAUAAAACCUUUCUAUAGACACUUAUCUAACCUAUACUAAAAGGGUUAUAUGAGCAUCAGAGAAGCUGUCCACGUAGGACAACUAAAUCAGCCAAUCAGGAGACUUUUUUUUGACACGUCAUCAAGCCCAGCUCCAUUGCUUUGGUUCUUCUUCACGCCUUUCGCGAUCCGAAAGGCAAUAGAAUCGACGUUUCCCUUUUUCAUUUUUCCAGAUCCCAUUUUGCUAGAUCAAAUCGUGAAACCCUUUACUUUUCCUCUCUUAAUCCACGUUAUCAGGUGAUCCUAAAAGAAGUGUUGUUCUAUCUCGAAGGAUUCCGAUGAGAUCUAAACGCAGCCAUGGAGGCUUGCCGCAGAAAACCUUGCCGUCGCCGGCUCAACCUCCGUCUGAGAUCCAGAGAACCGCGGCGGAGGAACAAAGGAGAAACGAGAAGAUCGUGAGAUUCACAGAACUGAGCCGUGGUAUCUUCACUGGUUCUAAGGGAAUGAAGGAUCGGCCGAUACGAUGCAUGACGUCUUCAGGAACGUCAGAAGGAAGAGGAGAUCAGAAGCAAUCUGGUUCUCAGGUUCUCAGACGGAGGUCAGAUAUGGAAGAGAAGAAGCUUGCAGAUAGAGUCAGCGAUGAGCAAGUAAAGAGAAUUGAAUUGAUGGUUUCUGAUGUUGAUGCGAGGGAUACCAAAGAUGAGGUCUUUGAGGAAGCUAUCGACAGUUCGAAGCCUGAAUCUUUCCAAGCCGAUGAUGGGUUACACGAGGAUUUUCCUUCAGAGGAAGUGAAAGUGCCAGAGGUUAAUGGAGAGAGCCAUGGUGAGGCCUGCAACAUAUAACUACGGGAGAGGCUGUACCAGGUUUUGUGACUUCCCAAAUGAAUGGUGAUGAAGGGGAAGCAGGUGCAGGGAAUGUCAGCGAGACAGCUACACUUUCUUUUUCUGAAAAUGGAAUCGUCUCCCCUGAGAAGAAAGCUGUUCUCCUCUCUUUCGGGUCAGAGAAGGAAGAGAAGAAGCUUGGAGACGAUAGAAUCAUCCAUGACCAAGUAGAGAACAAUAUAUUACUGGUUUCUGAUGUUGUCUUUGUGGAAGCUAUUGUCGGUUUCCAAGCCGAUGAUGGGUUGCACGAGGAUUUACCUUCAAAGGCAACUCCUGAACAUUCCAUGGAUGAUCUGGAAGAAGAGAAUAGCAAUGACAAGGAAGUGAAAGAUUCCAAGGUUAGUGGAGAGACCCAUGGUGAGGCAAACCUGCAACAUAUAACUGAGGGAGAGGCUGCACCAGGUUUUGUGACUUCCAAAAUGAAUGGUGACGAGGGGGAAUCAGGUGCAGAGCAGGAUGCUUUAUAAAAAAGCACAAGAAUAGAUUGAAUCAUCAAAAGCUUGAGAAUUGUGAACCAGAAAGGAAAGCAGCCGACUUUAGGUAGAGUACUCGGCCUUUCCUCAGUCUUGUGGAGAAGAAAUGGUUGGCGUUUCAGAGUGGAUCAGCAUAAGAACAGAUUGAAUCAUCAAAAGCUUGAGAAUUGUGAACCAGAAAGGAAAGCAGCCGACUUUAGGUAGAGUACUCGGCCUUUCCUCAGUCUUGUGGAGAAGAAAUGGUUGGCGUUUCAGAGUGGAUCAGCACAAGAACAGAUUGAAUCAUCAAAAGCUUGAGAAUUGUGAACCAGAAAGGAAAGCAGCCGACUUUAGGUAGAGUACUCGGCCUUUCCUCAGUCUUGAGGAGAAGAAAUGGUUGGCGUUUCAGGGUAGAUGAGACAUACAAAUUUCCGUAAAAUUUUCCUUUCGCAGUGUUGUACUUUGCAUUUAGCUUGACAUUUGUACAUUAACAAAUUGGAUUUAAAUUUACAUAAGGUUCUUUGCAUGAUAUUUCUCUCUUAUCUGUCUUUAUUUUCAUUGCAGGCUUCACUUGAAUCUGAGAUGAUAAAGCCACAACUGAUCUGAAACUCUUUGGUGUCAAUCUAAAGUGACAUGAAGGGGUCGUUGGUCGGAUUUCACUGAGUAUCAAAACGAAGCUCCAAAAGCAGAAGUUACACGAUGAAGAAUCUGGAGCGAAAGACGAGGAGAUAGAGAGGAAGAUGGAGAUUGGGCAAAGGGUUUAAGCUCAGCUUGGUUGUCUCGAGGAAGAGACUAAGCGCAUUGCCUUGAUCCGUGAGAAGCUUAGCAUGAUAACGAGUAGAAAGAAGUUGCAUUGGUCAGGAAGAAGAUUGAUUUUGUCAACAAAGAAUUCUCAACAAGCCAAUCUGUAAAGCUACCACCACCAGCAAAGAAUCCUCAAGGUUCCAAAAAAGAGGAGAUUGAGUAGCCAAAUCCAGGUUGAAGAGAAAAAUGAUGAAAUCAGACUGUGGUGGAACAUCCUGAGGAUUAAAACAAAUUGAUAGUAAUCAGAAUAGUAGUUCGGGAGUAAGCUACAAGCAAGCUACUAAAUCUGCGACAGCAAGCUGAGGCUACAUGGCACUUCUUCCCCUCGCAACAAGGGUCUGAGAAAACCACUAGACGUUACUCGCUACCAUAUUCAGGUAAUAAUGCAAGAGUUACUUCUGGUUUUCCUGAAACAACAGGAGUCUCAGACUUGGGCGGCAACACCAUCUUUUAUCCUAUGCAAAUAUGUUUCUCCGGUUACCUGAUCAUAUAAAUUUGUUUCUGUGUUGUGCGAGCAGACAAAUCUUUAAACAUGAACAUGUUUUUUUUAGAAUUGAAUAUGAACAUGUUACCAACGCCUUAUUCCUUU